AGGGAUGUUGUGCAGCUGGGUAGCGUAUUUGUUUUAGAUACAAAAUGUCACGGGUUCAAAUCAUGUCAUCCCUA
rfam:Lupinus angustifolius cultivar Tanjil contig_42445, whole genome shotgun sequence.